UACGAAGGGGGCUAGCGUUGCUCGGAAUGACUGGGCGUAAAGGGCGCGUAGGCGGUAGUGCUUGUCGGCGUGAAAUUCCGAGGCUCAACCUUGGGGCGGCACUUGAGACGUAGGAACUGGAGUGAGGAAGAGGGUCGUGGAAUUCCCAGUGUAGAGGUGAAAUUCGUAGAUAUUGGGAAGAACACCGGUGGCGAAGGCGGCGACCUGGUCCUUGACUGACGCUGAGGCGCGAAAGCGUGGGGAGCAAACAGG
rnacentral:rRNA from 1 species